rnacentral:lncRNA from 1 species
AGGAGCAUUUCCAUAUUUUCGUGUAUUAUAAGGUCUACCAAAUAAAAUAUAGAUGUGGUUAGGAUCUGAUAUCAACGUGUAUUAAAAAUGUGGGCCUAAUAAAUAAUAAGUUGUGAUUAAAUUAUUGUUAGAGAAAUAUAUGGUAACAUAUUGUUAGUAUAAAUUUAAGGUAAGACCAAAAUAUUAGUAAUCUAAUGAAAGAGUCCAAACAACUUGUAUAAGUAGAUUUUUU